rnacentral:rRNA from 1 species
ACGGAGGGUGCGAGCGUUAAUCGGAAUCACUGGGCGUAAAGCGCACGUAGGCGGUUUCUUAAGUCGGAUGUGAAAGCCCUCGGCUCAACCGGGGAACUGCAUUCGAUACUGCGAUGCUUGAGUGCCGUAGAGGGGGGUAGAAUUCCAGGUGUAGGGGUGAAAUGCGUAGAUAUCUGGAGGAAUACCGGUGGCGAAGGCGGCCACCUGGACGAAAACUGACGCUCAGGUGCGAAAGCGUGGGGAGCAAACAG